rnacentral:rRNA from 1 species
AGACCCGAAACCCGGUGAUCUAGCCAUGGGCAGGUUGAAGGUUGGGUAACACUAACUGGAGGACCGAACCGACUAAUGUUGAAAAAUUAGCGGAUGACCUGUGGCUGGGGGUGAAAGGCCAAUCAAACCGGGAGAUAGCUGGUUCUCCCCGAAAGCUAUUUAGGUAGCGCCUCGUGAACUCAUCUCCGGGGGUAGAGCACUGUUUCGGCUAGGGGGCCAUCCCGGCUUACCAACCCGAUGCAAACUGCGAAUACCGGAGAAUGUUAUCACGGGAGACACACGGCGGGUGCUAACGUCCGUCGUGAAGAGGGAAACAACCCAGACCGCCAGCUAAGGUCCCAAAGUCAUGGUUAAGUGGGAAACGAUGUGGGAAGGCCCAGACAGCCAGGAUGUUGGCUUAGAAGCAGCCAUCAUUUAAAGAAAGCGUAAUAGCUCACUGGUCGAGUCGGCCUGCGCGGAAGAUGUAACGGGGCUAAACCAUGCACCGAAGCUGCGGCAGCGACACUUUAGUGUUGUUGGGUAGGGGAGCGUUCUGUAAGCCGUUGAAGGUGUCCUGUGAGGGGUGCUGGAGGUAUCAGAAGUGCGAAUGCUGACAUAAGUAACGAUAAAGCGGGUGAAAAGCCCGCUCGCCGGAAGACCAAGGGUUCCUGUCCAACGUUAAUCGGGGCAGGGUGAGUCGACCCCUAAGGCGAGGCCGAAAGGCGUAGUCGAUGGGAAACGGGUUAAUAUUCCCGUACUUGGUGUUACUGCGAAGGGGGGACGGAGAAGGCUAUGUUGGCCGGGCGACGGUUGUCCCGGUUUAAGCGUGUAGGUGUGUGUUCCAGGUAAAUCCGGUUCACUUUAACACUGAGGCGUGAUGACGAGGCACCACGGUGCUGAAGCAACAAAUGCCCUGCUUCCAGGAAAAGCCUCUAAGCAUCAGGUAACAUCAAAUCGUACCCCAAACCGACACAGGUGGUCAGGUAGAGAAUACCAAGGCGCUUGAGAGAACUCGGGUGAAGGAACUAGGCAAAAUGGUGCCGUAACUUCGGGAGAAGGCACGCUGACACGUAGGUGAAGUGAUUUACUCAUGGAGCUGAAGUCAGUCGAAGAUACCAGCUGGCUGCAACUGUUUAUUAAAAACACAGCACUGUGCAAACACGAAAGUGGACGUAUACGGUGUGACGCCUGCCCGGUGCCGGAAGGUUAAUUGAUGGGGUCAGCGCAAGCGAAGCUCCUGAUCGAAGCCCCGGUAAACGGCGGCCGUAACUAUAACGGUCCUAAGGUAGCGAAAUUCCUUGUCGGGUAAGUUCCGACCUGCACGAAUGGCGUAAUGAUGGCCAGGCUGUCUCCACCCGAGACUCAGUGAAAUUGAACUCGCUGUGAAGAUGCAGUGUACCCGCGGCAAGACGGAAAGACCCCGUGAACCUUUACUAUAGCUUGACACUGAACAUUGAGCCUUGAUGUGUAGGAUAGGUGGGAGGCUUUGAAGCGUGGACGCCAGUCUGCGUGGAGCCGACCUUGAAAUACCACCCUUUAAUGUUUGAUGUUCUAACGUGGACCCGUAAUCCGGGUUGCGGACAGUGUCUGGUGGGUAGUUUGACUGGGGCGGUCUCCUCCUAAAGAGUAACGGAGGAGCACGAAGGUUGGCUAAUCCUGGUCGGACAUCAGGAGGUUAGUGCAAUGGCAUAAGCCAGCUUGACUGCGAGCGUGACGGCGCGAGCAGGUGCGAAAGCAGGUCAUAGUGAUCCGGUGGUUCUGAAUGGAAGGGCCAUCGCUCAACGGAUAAAAGGUACUCCGGGGAUAACAGGCUGAUACCGCCCAAGAGUUCAUAUCGACGGCGGUGUUUGGCACCUCGAUGUCGGCUCAUCACAUCCUGGGGCUGAAGUAGGUCCCAAGGGUAUGGCUGUUCGCCAUUUAAAGUGGUACGCGAGCUGGGUUUAGAACGUCGUGAGACAGUUCGGUCC